GUGUUGACUUCAACAGCACAUACACUAAAAUGGGAAUGAUACAGAGAAAAUUGGCAUGGCCCCUAUGUACAGAUAACAUACAUUUUCAGAAAGCAUUCCAUAUAUUU